UAACCGACUCGAGAAGGAGGCAAAGGGAGAGGAGCGGCGGAGAGACGGCGACGAAGACGACAGGCAGAUUGCUACCGCUCGAAGGGCAACUGCGCCAUCUCCUCUUUCUACCCGACCACCUCAACCCUUCUCGUCUCCUCCUCCUGGUGUCCGCCCUUCGCGCAAUGCGCGGGCCAGCUCACCCCGCCGCCGUCGCCGCCUUUACGCCAGAAAUCAGAGUUCUCGUUUCCAGCCCUAGCUACGGUUCUUCGAUUUGCAUGCAUAGUCCUAGACUUAGAGAUUCCCAUACAGAUCGGCGUCUUUUUUGUACUGCAAGCUGUCCUUUUUUCUCAUCUUUUCCUGAGUUUUUGGAGGAUACCAAUCUUUUUGUGAGUAAUCGGAUGGUACUUACUGUUUCUUUAUUGCGGAUCUUCUUUUCAUCUUCUCUUGAGUUCCUCGAUCGUGCCGGUACCUUUUUCUGCGUUCUUAGAUGAUACGUGGCGUUUCCAUCCUUUUCCAAGUUCUUGGAUGAUGCUGAUCUUGUUUCUCUUUCUUUGAUGACACUUGCCGAUUCUUUAUUGCGAUCUUUUUCAUCCUUCUGGAGUUCUCGAAUGAUACUUCUGGCGCUGUGGUCCUUGUUCAUUCAUUAGAAUCGUUACAUUUAAUUAGCAAGUCCCACGCCCUCUGUAGAAUCAAUUUUCUUCAACUCAUUUGUUGCUUUUCCUUUUAUCACAAGAAUUGGCCUGAAUCAGUGAGUACAUGACCACACAUAGUGAUCGGAAAUCUUUAGAUCGUGCAGAAUGGGGAUCGGAGCUCUAACCUCUUGCUAUGGGAUUGACUGGUUGAAGAAUUGGUGUACUGUUCUCAUGUCAUGUGGUCUAUAUAUACAGCAGGUGGCAUAUCACAAACCCUCCUAUGAUAUCCGAAGCUUUUGCAUCAAGCGAAACAAAUAAUUUUGGCCAUUUGAGUACUCGAGUAAUAAGUCGAAGACAUAACCGGUACAAGUCAAGGAGUGCCCUUGCGGCCUUACUGUUGUUGGACUUGGGAAUAUGAUUUAUGAAAAGAUCAAGCAGCAUGCCAGUAUUGGCCCCUGUCGUCGGAGCAUCAUCACUGUCUUAUUUGAAACCUGAUUAUGUCUACUUUAUUGGUCUUUCUUGUUAGGGUCCCAUAUUCAAGGUGACUUUGUUUGUCAAAUUUGUUCUGUUUUAUGUCUCUCUAUUCGUAACUUAAUGGAUCGUUAUGGUGGUACU